rnacentral:rRNA from 1 species
UACGAAGGGGGCUAGCGUUGUUCGGAUUUACUGGGCGUAAAGCGCACGUAGGCGGCUAUCCAAGUCAGUGGUGAAAGCCCGGAGCUCAACUCCGGAACUGCCAUUGAAACUGUUUAGCUGGAGUAUGAGAGAGGUGAGUGGAAUUCCCAGUGUAGAGGUGAAAUUCGUAGAUAUUGGGAAGAACACCGGUGGCGAAGGCGGCUCACUGGCUCAUUACUGACGCUCAUGCGCGACAGCGUGGGGAUCAAACAGG